GACGAACGCUGGCGGCGUGCUUAACACAUGCAAGUCGAACGGAAAGGCCCUGCUUUUGUGGGGUGCUCGAGUGGCGAACGGGUGAGUAACACGUGAGUAACCUGCCCUUGACUUUGGGAUAACUUCAGGAAACUGGGGCUAAUACCGGAUAGGAGCCCCUGUUGCAGGGUGGGGGUGGGAAAGUUUCGGCGGUUGGGGAUGGACUCGCGGCUUAUCAGCUUGUUGGUGGGGUAGUGGCUUACCAAGGCUUUGACGGGUAGCCGGCCUGAGAGGGUGACCGGCCACAUUGGGACUGAGAUACGGCCCAGACUCCUACGGGAGGCAGCAGUGGGGAAUAUUGCACAAUGGGCGGAAGCCUGAUGCAGCAACGCCGCGUGCGGGAUGACGGCCUUCGGGUUGUAAACCGCUUUCGCCUGUGACGAAGCGUGAGUGACGGUAAUGGGUAAAGAAGCACCGGCUAACUACGUG
rnacentral:rRNA from 1 species